GUCCACGCCCUAAACGAUGUCGACUGGUUGUUGGGGUUUGACACUCUCAGUAACGAAGCUAACGCGUGAAGUCGACCGCCUGGGGAGUACGGCCGCAAGGUUAAAACUCAAAGGAAUUGACGGGGACCCGCACAAGCGGUGGAUUAUGUGGAUUAAUUCGAUGCAACGCGAAAACCUUACCUACCCUUGACAUGUCCUGGAGGCUCCAGAAAUGGGGCUGUGCCCGAAAGGGAACGGGAACACAGGUGCUGCAUGGCUGUCGU
rnacentral:rRNA from 1 species